UUCAUAUGUAUCUCAAAACUCUUUAAUAUUUCCUUUUUCCUAUCUCUUUCUACCCUCCCACCUCUUUUUUUCCCGUUCCUUCUUUUACCCUUAAAAUAUAUGUAAAUCUAAAAAAAGUAGAAAAGCAAAAAAUCCAAACUUUGUAAUUAAAUAAAACUAGGUUUCCCCCCUGUACAGUUCAAAGAGUGUUUGUGAGAAAUCUGAGAAUUCAUGUGGGAGUUAAGCACUAAUUUCCAUAUAUAGAAAUUCCAUCUGUAGAAACCCACUUAAGUCAAAAGUAAAGGUAAUGGGAAGAUAAGAUUUCUUUACAACAGAUUUUCAAAACUGACUUCAAACAGGGGACCCACACCAUAUAUUGAUUUCUUAGAGUCUCAAAAGACAAAGCCCACUGAAUUAAUUUACUGCUCUGUAUCCUGUGGUCUUAGGAAGUACUUAGCUAUAUUUUUCCUGUGAGUAAACUCUGCCUGGAAAUUACUUUUGGAAUUAACCACAUCAUCUCAUUCCAGUCACUAGGGUGUCAUUCAGUAAAUUACUUCUUUAUUGCUCCUUAGUGGCGAAAAGAAGGAAACCAAGAGUGGUGGUAAUUUGUUAGAAAAAAGACAGCUCCAUAUUGCAAGUAUUUCAGCAAAGUAAUUCCAUGUUUUUAGAUCUCUUCUACUUUUUUUUUUUUUUUUUCAGGAAACAUCUGUUGAGCACCUAUUACAGAGAAGUAUUUUAACUGGGCAAUGGAGAGACAAGAUUAAUAAAGUCAUCCCUGACUACAAAAAUUAAGUUUAGUGAGAGUAGCAAGUGACAAUUAAUUAUGGUGUAUUUUCUUGGAAGGAGCAUGUGCUGUAUUACCUGAAUAGAACAGGCUUGUGGUAGGGGGAGAGUGGCAGAUGCAAUAACAGGUGGCCACAGCGCAGAGUGGUGGUAGUGGAGGUGCAGGUGGUGGUGGCAGUGCCGGGGUGGAGAGAUAGUGGAGAAGGUGAGGAUGGUUGGGGUGGAGGUCACAGUAAGCUUUUCAGAGAGAGUAAUUAUUGAGUUGAGUCCUGAGAGAUAAAUGGGAAUUAGCCAAAUGAGAGAAGAACAUGUUCCCAAACAUAAUACAAUGUAUUUUAUUUGAAAGUUUCCACUUAGUUAACAGGAGAGCAAUUCAGAGAGAUUCUUCAAGGUCUUCUUUCAGAAGCUUGGCUCCGCUCUCCUGCUGUGCGGUUUGCAUCUCAUACACACAUCAUCUCAUCUCCCUGCACAUUUGUAAUGUAUUCUGGCAGAGGAUGCUUUUGGCCUCAUGUCAGGGUUUGAUUCAAAGCAACACCUUCUCCAUCGCCUUUGCUAUAGCAAGAAGUAUGCUAUGCGUCAUCAGACCGCCUGGUAACAUUGACACUUUUAUAUAUCCCUGAGAUAUAAUUUCUGUAUCUGAAAGGCCAAAAAGUUUGUAGAGCAAGUUUUUGGAGAAAUAAGCAAAAUAAAGACAACCUGUUAAAUUUUCCAGUGUCGGUGCACAUAAGGAAAAAUGGUAUUCUGGGGACUAAGGUCAGCGAGGUGAGAAAAAUGAUGCAUGAGGCUGUCGCAUAAAUCUCAUUGGUGUCCUAUAGCUUUUAAUCUGCUUCACGUCAGUAGGGAUUUAAAAUGCCUGUCCACCAGGCAUGGGUCAGUCAGGAUAUUCCUUCAGGGAGCCUCAGAAAAAAUGUAGAUCUUUUUUUUUAUAUCUUUCUUGCCAUGUAGAUCUAAAAAUCAUGAUGUCAUUCAUUUUUAAAAAUAAGCUAUGUCACUGGUUUUUAAUUUUAAUUUCUAACUGAUACAUAAAACAUAAAAUUGUAAUGGGGUUUUAUGUAAUGUUAUGCAGUGUCUGUGUGUAUAUUUAUAUCUUCUAAAACAUUUACCAUUUCUUUAUGAUGAAAGCUUUCAGACUAUUUUCUUCUAGCUUUUUGAAAUGUACAGGACAUUAUUGUUACUUAUAGCCCACGGGAUUAUUCUUGAUACUGAGACACAGCAGUGGCCUCUGUUCAACUCACACGUUCACUUCAGCUCUCCUUAAAAUCAAUUUUAUUUCAGUGCCUGCCAGCAUAUUUUAUGUUUGACUGAUACUUUCUUUAAUUAUAUCUAUAUCUAUCUAUAUUGAUACAUGGAUAUAUCUAUAUAUUUUCCACAGAACUCAAGGUUAUAGAAACACUUUUGUAGUAUUGACUGUGAUUGAAAUGAUGCAUGUUCAUGCAGAUAGUGGUACGAUGCAUCCUAACUUUAACAUCUCUUAUUUGGUAAGUGCUUAUUAUAAGCCAGACAUCAUCUUUCCAUGAGGAGGAAUUUCACACUUGCAACACACUUACUGGGUGUGUAUUAUCAUUUCACAAAGAACACCCAUGUUUGGAAAGGUAAGAGAAUUUUUGAACAUCACCUACUAAAAAGUAGGAAAAGAAGAAUUUGAAUUCAAAGCCAGUUUCCUUUGUGCUACAUUGAACGAAUUUUAAUCUUUCAUAGAUGCAUAUGAACAGAAAUUUUCUGUCUUCACUGUGUUUGAACUAUGGAUGCCUUCUAAAUGUGAAGCCGAUAAAUUAGAUCUUUCCAAGAUAUUUAGAUAUAUGACUGAAGAAUGGAAAGUUUGAAAACAGUAAUGCAGAAGACUAUAUUGUAGAUGGUAGAAAUUUUACAGAAAUGGAACUUGAACUAAAGUCUUAAAGAUAUAUUAGAUACACUGAUGACAAAAAGGAAUAUAUUUCAUAAAGAGGGAUAUUAUUUGAAGGAAAUGUCACAGAUAUGGAUAUUUAUAAAGAGUAAUGAUAGCUGAUUUUUCAGUGCUUAUAAUUUAAAACAUUGCCAGGACCAAGGUAGAAAGUCGGGGCUGAGCACCUAGUGAGGAGAUGGUGUAAAGACAAAUAUCAUACUUAACAUUUUAUUGAGAUGAACUGUGAAAACAAUGACUUCUCCUCACUUCAUAUAGAAAAAAAUCCCAGAAUGUCCUUGUAAUGGUUGCAUUUCAAUAGACAGUUCCCACAUCUAUGCAUGCAAGAACAUCAAUAAUGUUCAGUAAUUUUGGUAGGUAAUACUCUGAGAUUAAUCAGAAGACUGACGUACAAGCCAGUUUGCACCUAACAGCUUUUUCCCUUGUCUUUAGAAAAGCAUGGUUCUUCAACCAGAAAUCCUGCCAAACAUGAGGUUGUAAUGUUUUUAACAUUGGUAAGCUCUCUAUGGGAAAAGGUAAAUCAGCUAGCAAUUUCCAUGAAUUUUUACAUGAUUCUAAUAGACUUUUCAUUCUAAGUUUUCUUUGGAAACAAUGCAUUUUUUCCCUCCAAGUCCAGAAUGAGAACAAGAUGAGUUGCUGUAGUGUGGCAAGUUGAAGCCAGGUGAGCUGGAUACAAGUGGAAGAUGUGACAGUGCAGCUGUUUGGUGUCCAUCAAAGGACUGCAUGAUAUAUUAAAGUCUUCACAACAGACUGUCCAUUCAGGAGGAAGCAGCAAGACCAGGGUUCGGCUGGUGGUCUGCAGCUUUCUAUACUGCAUGGAACAAGUGUAUUUUCUGGACUGGGGCCAACGAAUCAUUAAAAUAUCAUGGAGAUCAAUAUUCUCAAGCUAGUCAAGUUGAGUAAGAUAAAUUCCAUUUUAUAACUGGGAAAAAUGGGACUAUACCAGAAGUAAAUAUGUUCAAUGCCUUCCACAUGUCAAUGUUCAAUGCCUUCCACAUUAGUUGCUUUACAUUCUUUCACAGACCUUCAGUAAUCUAGCUGAAGUGUUUUCACCCUUACCCAAGUGAGGCACUGAGCUCUAUGAAGGCUGAGACUGUGCCUCUUCUAUUCAUUAUAUUUAUUCCCAGGACUUAGCAUUGUGUCUGGUGUAUUGGGUAUAAAAUAAAUAUUUGUUGCACUAAUGUACAGAAGAAUGAACAAAUGAAAACAUUGAAUCUCUGGAAGAACAAGGAAACUAGCUGAAGUCAAGCAAAGUUCUAUCAGUGGUGGUGAUCGCCUCAGACUUGGAUCCCUGUGCUAGAACCUCUUCCAAGGGCUGCAGAAUCUGCCUGCUUUCCAGGUGCUGUGUAUGGUGCUAUGACUGAUAGUUUAUGCAUUUUUAUGCUGAAAGACCAUUGAAUAGCUGGCAACUGAUGUUGAGUCAAUAUAAAAUAAAAUAUUUCUGCAGAUUUUUAUCCUC